rnacentral:rRNA from 1 species
CCUACGGGAGGCUGCAGUGGGGAAUAUUGCACAAUGGGGGAAACCCUGAUGCAGCAACGCCGCGUGAGUGAGGAAGUAUUUCGGUAUGUAAAGCUCUAUCAGCAGGGAAGAAAAUGACGGUACCUGAGUAAGAAGCCCCGGCUAACUACGUGCCAGCAGCCGCGGUAAUACGUAGGGGGCAAGCGGUAUCCGGAUUUACUGGGUGUAAAGGGAGCGUAGACGGCAGUGCAAGUCUGGAGUGAAAGGCGGGGGCUCAACCCCCGGACUGCUCUGGAAACUGUACGGCUGGAGUGCAGGAGAGGUAAGUGGAAGUCCUAGUGUAGCGGUGAAAUGCGUAGAUAUUAGGAGGAACACCAGUGGCGAAGGCGGCUUACUGGACUGUAACUGACGUUGAGGCUCGAAAGCGUGGGGAGCAAACAGGAUUAGAUACCCGAGUCGUC